AUUGAACGCUGGCGGAAUGCUUUACACAUGCAAGUCGAACGGUAACAGGUCUUCGGAUGCUGACGAGUGGCGAACGGGUGAGUAAUAUAUCGGAACGUGCCCAGUCGUGGGGGAUAACGUAGCGAAAGUUACGCUAAUACCGCAUACGAUCUAUGGAUGAAAGCGGGGGAUCGCAAGACCUCGCGCGAUUGGAGCGGCCGAUAUCAGAUUAGGUAGUUGGUGGGGUAAAGGCUCACCAAGCCAACGAUCUGUAGCUGGUCUGAGAGGACGACCAGCCACACUGGAACUGAGACACGGUCCAGACUCCUACGGGAGGCAGCAGUGGGGAAUUUUGGACAAUGGACGCAAGUCUGAUCCAGCCAUUCCGCGUGCAGGAUGAAGGCCCUCGGGUUGUAAACUGCUUUUGUACGGAACGAAAAGGUCUCUAUUAAUACUAGGGGCUCAUGACGGUACCGUAAGAAUAAGCACCGGCUAACUACGUGCCAGCCGCCGCAGUAAGAC
rnacentral:rRNA from 1 species